UACAGAGGGUGCGAGCGUUAAUCGGAAUUACUGGGCGUAAAGCGUGCGCAGGCGGUUUCGUAAGCCAGAUGUGAAAGCCCCGGGCUUAACCUGGGAAUGGCAUUUGGGACUGCAAGGCUUGAGUGCGGCAGAGGAGACUGGAAUUCCUGGUGUAGCAGUGAAAUGCGUAGAUAUCAGGAGGAAUACCGAUGGCGAAGGCAGGUCUCUGGGCUGACACUGACGCUCAUGCACGAAAGCGUGGGGAGCAAACAGG
rnacentral:rRNA from 1 species